GCAAGAUGUAAUAGAACACAGCGGCUGCGGGACACAGGAAAACUUCCUGUACAGAUGCCCUUUCCUUCAGCCCAGCAUGAGAUUCCUGGGGAAACCAAAUUCUAAGGGAUUUCAAAAGUCUCACACCUGGAAAUCUGAGCACCCUGGAGGCCAGGCCAGCAGGAUCAUGGCCUGUGUUGAGGCUAGCCUGGGCCAUGAGUCAAAUUGUUUCAAACAAGCAAACAAAUAAGAAAAACUUUUGGACCUGGAUUUUUUC